GACGAACGCUGGCGGCGUGCCUAAUACAUGCAAGUCGAGCGCAGGAAGCCGUCUGAACCCUUCGGGGGGACGACGAUGGAAUGAGCGGCGGACGGGUGAGUAACACGUAAAGAACCUGCCCAUAGGUCUGGGAUAACCACGAGAAAUCGGGGCGAAUACCGGAUGUGUCAUCGGACCGCAUGGUCCGCUGAGGAAAGGCGCUCCGGCGUCGCCCAUGGAUGGCUUUGCGGUGCAUUAGCUAGUUGGUGGGGUAACGGCCCACCAAGGCGACGAUGCAUAGCCGACCUGAGAGGGUGAUCGGCCACACCGGGACUGAGACACGGCCCAGACUCCUACGGGAGGCAGCAGUAGGGAAUCUUCCACAAUGGACGAAAGUCUGAUGGAGCAACGCCGCGUGAACGAUGAAGGCUUUCGGGUCGUAAAGUUCUGUUGUAAGGGAAGAACAAGUGCCGCAGGCAAUGGCGGCACCUUGACGGUACCUUGCGAGAAAGCCACGGCUAACUACGUGCCAGCCGCCGCGGUAA
rnacentral:rRNA from 1 species